GUGUUGUAUGAAAGGAGAGACAGUUAGCACUCCCCUUGACAAAGGUCAGCCUGCACACAGUUAAGGCAUUGCCACCUAUUUUGUGGCACCUGACCACUGUUUUUC
rnacentral:ncRNA from 1 species